rnacentral:rRNA from 1 species
ACCCCAUGGAGCUUUAAACCCAACGACACCCGCCCCCCUCCAAAUCCUACUAUUUACCCGGUGAUUGUUUGUUUGGUUUUAGGUUGGGGUGACCGCGGAGUAUAAGAUAUCCUCCAUGAAAAAAGCUAACUGCCCUUAUUAGAGAAAGACACUUCCAAAAAAUAAUAAAUUAAUUUUAAAUGAUCCGACAUUCGAUCAACGAACCAAGUUACCCUGGGGAUAACAGCGCAAUCCGUCCCGAGAGCCCCUAUCGACAGGCGGGUUUACGACCUCGAUGUUGGAUCAGGGUAUCCUAGUGGUGCAGCAGCUACUAAAGGUUCGUUUGUUCAACGAUUAAAACCCU